AGAAAGCCUUCAACGCCCUGUGCCACAGCACCCACUUGUACGGCCGGAGGCUGGUCCUGGAGUGGGCAGACACGGAGGAGACGGUGGAGGCCCUGCGACGGAAAACGGCGGAUCAUUUCCACGACUCCCCAAAGAAGAGAAAGCAAUCAGAGGUUUUGAAUGAAAUCCUGGAGCACCUGGAAGAGGAGAGCAACCAAGAUGAGACCAUCUAGCAGCUUCCUGGCAUUGUCGAGAUCUCUCGCUGCUGGCCGGAGAGGGAGAAGCCUCAGCAGGGGACUCAGUAGCCAUCACACUUGUUGCCAACGGAGUCUGCUUGUCCUGUGAACCCGAGGGCUGCUUUAAGCCACACGUCCAGGUCUCGGUAUUUCCAGCUUUUUUUGAAACAGACCUUGAAUUCGGAGUGGAAGGAAUAGUCUUUCUCUGCCCAAGGAUCUCCUCUUAAAUCUGGGCAGGGAUGCGGUUCCUCUUUAUGUCAGAAACCACCCAACCUGGUGGCACAGAGUCCUGGGGACAUGGACACCUCCCCUGCUUGACCCCAGGGACUCCAGCAGAACCCGCUUUUAACGUCUGAACUCAAUGAUUUCAUUUCUGUACAUUAAAACCCACGCGUAUAUUUUAAGAGAGUUUUCCAAACUGA